GGCUCUCCUUUUGAUUCCCCAGGUAAAAAGGGAUCACUCUGGAGUUCAAAGGACAGAACUCUUGCCUGGUGACCGGGAAAACCUGGCCAUUCAGACCCGGGGUGGUCCAGAAAAGCAUGAAGUAACUGGCUGGGUGCUGGUAUCUCCUCUAAGUAAGGAAGACACUGGAGAAUACGAGUGCCACGCGUCCAAUUCCCAAGGACAGGCUUCAGCGUCGGCCAAAAUUACAGUGGUUGAUGCCAUACACGAAAUACCAGUGAAAAAAGGUGAAGGUGCUCAGCUAUAAACCUGCGAAUACAUUAGCCUCUGUAGCUGACGCGCUCUCAGACAGCUGACAGCUGUAACCCCACUCCUGCCUGACAUAUUCCUUUGAACCUAACACACUAACACUUUAUUACAGCCAGCUGAUUUUACAGAGAAAUCAAAGAUAACACAUAAGACUAUCUACAAAAGUUUAUUGUUUAUUUACAGAAAAAGCAUGCAGAGCUUUAAACAAAACAAAUAAAAUUCUU
rnacentral:lncRNA from 1 species